AUUGAACGCUGGCGGCAGGCCUAACACAUGCAAGUCGAGCGGAUGAAGGGAGCUUGCUCCUGGAUUCAGCGGCGGACGGGUGAGUAAUGCCUAGGAAUCUGCCUGGUAGUGGGGGAUAACGUCCGGAAACGGGCGCUAAUACCGCAUACGUCCUGAGGGAGAAAGUGGGGGAUCUUCGGACCUCACGCUAUCAGAUGAGCCUAGGUCGGAUUAGCUAGUUGGUGGGGUAAAGGCCUACCAAGGCGACGAUCCGUAACUGGUCUGAGAGGAUGAUCAGUCACACUGGAACUGAGACACGGUCCAGACUCCUACGGGAGGCAGCAUUGGGGAUAUUGGACAAUGGGCGAAAGCCUGAUCCAGCCAUGCCGCGUGUGUGAAGAAGGUCUUCGGAUUGUAAAGCACUUUAAGUUGGGAGGAAGGGCAGUAAGUUAAUACCUUGCUGUUUUGACGUUACCAACAGAAUAAGCACCGGCUAACUUCGUG
rnacentral:rRNA from 1 species